UAUUUAUUUUAAUUUAUUAUUAUUAUUAUUAUUUUAUGGCAAACUUAAUACUUCUUAUAACUAUUUAAGUAAUUAUCUUUUUAGACUUUUCUCUUUUGAUGGCUCAUCUGCACAUCGAGUACUUACGUUAGAAAAAAGAAAUGAAGAAAAUCGGUCCUGUACAGUUUCAGAUAUAAUAGCUAUCAUAAGAAAUCGCCUCACGUGAUAUUAUAAAAAACCUAUUUAAAUUUUCAUUCAGAUUUAUAACUGAUAAUACUAUCAGACUGUCUCAUUUUGGUACACAUGUUGACCACAAUAUUACUUAUUAGUUACCUAUUACUAUUCAUUUUCAUGCCGUUGUAAUAGAUUUAGGAUUGCGUAUUAUUUUUCGUAUAAUAUUACUAUAUAAACUAUAGUAUUUAAUAUUUAUGUCUGAUUGUCCGAGAUGGAAAAAAACAGGAAAACCAUUUUUAUAAUUUACCGUAUCUGCGGUUACUGAUUAGCCACCAGUUUCUAUCAUAUUGUUUAUUGUCUAUAGUUUCAAUACAGUUGACCGUCGUCGAUACUCAAUUGUCAUUUUUAUUUUCUUAAUAAUACUGGACUUUUUCAUAUCGAAGUUUGACAAGUGACAAUAUUAUAUUCUUUUGUGAUUUACUAGUUAUUACGUUUAUAAUGUUUGCCUAUUAAAAUUUGUAUUUUUUAUUUAUUUGUGUUAAUUAUUAUAAAGUAUGUUCUGUAUUUCUGUGUGUUUUUCAUUUACAUUUACUGUUGAUGAUGUACCGUUGUGUAAAUGGGUUAUCAUUGUAAUGUCGACCGCAGUGGCUUGUAGUGAGGUCAAAGAAUCAAUCAUUUUGUAAAAUUAUUCAGAAGAUAAAAACCGUUCCAAUAAUAGAAGACUUAGUAACCACCGACUUGUAAUUGUAUGCCGACUACAUUAAACGGCGGGAGGAAAUCGGACAGACAAUGGCCAACAUCAUCAACUACCUACCUAUCGAGGAGAAUGUGAGCCUCUUGGAAGCUUUAGACACUAUAUGGAUGAUAUCUAGAUUUUUUGGCAUGAGCUUUACGAGUCACAAGAAUCUUUUAAAUACUUCCUUUUUUUAAAUUGAAUAAAAAAAAUGGUUCACAACAAAUAUUUAUUGAAAGUAGGUUUGGUAGCAAACAUGUUUAUUGGUCUAUGUA